rnacentral:misc_RNA from 1 species
GAUGAAGAACGUAGCGAAAUGCGAUAAGUAGUGUGAAUUGCAGAAUUCAGUGAAUCAUCGAAUCUUUGAACGCACAUUGCGCCCCUUGGUAUUCCAUGGGGCAUGCCUGUUCGAGCGUCAUUUGUACCUUCAAGCUCUGCUUGGUGUUGGGUGUUUGUCCUUGCUCUAGUGGCGGGACUCGCCUUAAAGUAAUUGGCAGCCAGUGUUUUGGUUUUGAAGCGCAGCACAAGUCGCGAUUCAAGUCUAUACGCUAGUCUCCACAAGUCUUUUAUCACUUUUGACCUCGGAUCAGGUAGGGAUACCCGCUGAACUUAAGCAUAUCAAUAAGCGGAGGA